AUUACCGAGUACCGGGCCAUCGAGCCCGCACUCCAACCCUGUGCGCACGUAACCUUCGUUGCUUUGGCGGGUCCGACCGAGACAGGCUGGCCCGCCACAGGAAGCCCAAACUCUUGCUAUUUCGGCUGCAGUCUGAGCGAAUAUCGAAUAUUCUAAAAACUUUCAACAACGGAUCUCUUGGUUCCGGCAUCGAUGAAGAACGCAGCGAAAUGCGAUAAGUAAUGUGAAUUGCAGAAUUCAGUGAAUCAUCGAAUCUUUGAACGCACAUUGCGCCCCUUGGUAUUCCGAGGGGCAUGCCUGUUCGAGCGUCAUUGCAAACCUCAAGCUCCGCUUGGUGUUGGGCCUCGUCCGCGACGGACGUGCCUCAAAGCCAUCGGCGGCGUCGUCUCGGCCUCAAGCGUAGUAGAAUCUUCUCGCUUUGGAGGACGAGGCGCCGUCUGCCGGGCGACGACCCCUCACAUCGCACAGUUUGACCUCGGAUCAGGUAGGGAUACCCGCUGAACUUAAGCAUAUCAAUAAGCGGAGGAAAAGAAACCAACAGGGAUUGCCUCAGUAACGGCGAGUGAAGCGGCAACAGCUCAAAUUUGAAAUCUGACCCCCUUGGGGUCCGAGUUGUAAUUUGCAGAGGAUGCUUCGGCGAGAGCUCCGGUCUAAGUUCCUUGGAACAGGACGUCACAGAGGGUGAGAAUCCCGUACGUGACCGGCCGCUCGAGCCAUGUGAAGCUCCUUCGACGAGUCGAGUUGUUUGGGAAUGCAGCUCUAAAUGGGAGGUAAAUUUCUUCUAAAGCUAAAUAUUGGCCGGAGACCGAUAGCGCACAAGUAGAGUGAUCGAAAGAUGAAAAGCACUUUGGAAAGAGAGUUAAAAAGUACGUGAAAUUGUUGAAAGGGAAGCGCUUGCAACCAGACUUGCCCGCAGUUGCUCAUCCGUCCUUCUGGGCGGUGCACUCUUCUGCGGUCAGGCCAGCAUCAGUUCGGGCGGCUGGACAAAGGCCUCGGGAAUGUAGCUCUCUUCGGGGAGUGUUAUAGCCUGGGGCGGAAUGCAGCCUGCCUGGACUGA
rnacentral:rRNA from 1 species